rnacentral:rRNA from 1 species
CCGCUGACGAGCGGCGGACGGGUGAGUAACGCGUAGGAAUCUACCCAGUAGCGGGGGAUAGCUCGGGGAAACUCGAAUUAAUACCGCAUACGCCCUACGGGGGAAAGCAGGGGAUCUUCGGACCUUGCACUAUUGGAAGAGCCUGCGUUGGAUUAGCUAGUUGGUAGGGUAAAGGCCUACCAAGGCGACGAUCCAUAGCUGGUCUGAGAGGAUGAUCAGCCACACCGGAACUGAGACACGGUCCGGACUCC